GUAGCAAAGUAAAUUGUUUUUUAAUUGAGAACGGGUAUGAAUGGUCUAACUGGGGUUUUAUUUUUACGCAGAGCAAUAAAUUUCUAGUUUAAGUAAAAAUACUUAAAUUUUUAAAAGGGACGACAAGACCCUAAAAGCUUUAUUUUAUCUCUUUUAUUAAUAUUAGGGGUAAUAGAUAGAUUAGAGUUAAAUUUGAUUGGGGCAAUUUAUUUAGCUAGUUAGAUCGAAUAAGGACUUUAAAGGGUUAAUGAUCCUUUAUAUAAGGAUUGAUAGUAUUAGCUACUUUAGGGAUAACAGCGUAAUACACUUGGAAAGGUCUUAUCGAUAGGUGUGAUUGCGACCUCGAUGUUGAAUUAAAAAAUCUAUACGAGGCACAAUGCGUAUGAGAAGGUUUGUUCAACCUUUAAAAUUUU
rnacentral:rRNA from 1 species